rnacentral:rRNA from 1 species
AGAAUCAACGCUGGCGGCGUGCCUAACACAUGCAAGUCGAACGAGAAAGUGGAGCAAUCCAUGAGUAAAGUGGCGCACGGGUGAGUAACACGUGACUAACCUACCUUUUAGUGGGGGAUAACCUAGGGAAACCUGGGCUAAUACCGCAUAAUACCUACGGGUCAAAGCAGCAAUGCGCUGGAAGAGGGGGUCGCGGCCGAUUAGCUAGUUGGCGGGGUAAUGGCCCACCAAGGCAGUGAUCGGUAUCCGGCCUGAGAGGGCGCACGGACACACUGGAACUGAAACACGGUCCAGACUCCUACGGGAGGCAGCAGUGGGAAUUUUGCGCAAUGGGGGAAACCCUGACGCAGCAACGCCGCGUGGAGGAUGAAGACCCUUGGGUCGUAAACUCCUUUCGAUCGGGACGAUAAUGACGGUACCGGAAGAAGAAGCCCCGGCUAACUUCGUGCCAGCAGCCGC